CUUCAGCAGUGACAGUAGUGACGACUACCCCCAGCCCUUCUCUGUCACUUUUAGCUCCCCUCCCUUCCCCCAUCAAACCUAGUUUAAAGCCCUGGUAAUCAGCCCAGAGAGCUUGCUCCCCAACACACUUGCGCCCCACUUGCUCAGUUGGUCCCCCGGUUUUUGUGCCA